rnacentral:tRNA from 1 species
ACCAGGAUGGCCGAGUGGUUAAGGCGUUGGACUUAAGUUCCAAUGUACAGAUGUACGCGUGGGUUCGAACCCCACUCCUGGUA